AAUUCAUAAUCUGAGAUUGUCCUAAAGGGGAAGGUUAUCAAAGGGGUUUAUCAGGCUGGAAGAAUAAGACGAUUUGAAUCAGGAACCAGGUAAAAAUCUGAGUAAUCUUUUAACAGAUGUGGGCUCAGCAGGAUUGGUGGUAUGUGCUGACUGUAUUCAGGGUCAGAUGGGGUGCAAGUAUGUCAGGAGUCGCUACAAUCCAGCAAACCUGUAGAGACAAAGCUGGAGAGCAGAAAGACGCCAGCACCAGAAUGACCAGUAGAGGGAGGCAGAGAGACAGGAACCAGCCAAUCCAUGACUGACAGCUUAUGUGUGCAACUUUACAGAGUGAACUGAUGUCCUUUCUUUGUUUCUCUUACACAAUAUGGACUUUACACUGCAAAUAAAUGGAAAAUAAGGUUUUAUUCAGUCAUUCAUCUUCUAAAUUUCAAUCAGGUUGGAGGUUACUGCAGCCAUCUGACAUGUUGUGCACCCUGAAUAACUUUCCAGUCCAUAGUAAGGUGGAUUUAAUAAUUUAUUCAAGAUCUCCUAAACUGUAAAGCUGCGUUCACAACCGCCGUCUGCAGCGCAAGAGACCAAUUCUGAUGAAAAGUGUGAAAGUCUCCAUCGGCUACUUUGAUGUCUCCCUCUUUGCUGAUCUUGAACCAGCUGAAGCUGAUGUGAGGAGGAUUGGCUCUGCUGGAGCAGGUCAGGUUCACCCAGCUACCUACUGGGACCAAACCCAACGGACUGAUCGAUACUGAGGUGUCCUUAGGAGCAUCUAAGAAAAUUAAAACUCAGAUUAACUUUAUUGGAUAACUGACAGAACAGUUGAUGGUGAAUCCAUCAUGAGCGUCUGACAGAGUGAUGUUCUUCUGGAUUUUACUUGUAAAUGUUAAAUUUGAGUUUUUCUCAGUUUGUCUUUGAGAGUCUGUUUGAAGAUUCCAGGUGAGUUCAGGAGGAGAUUGAGGGCAGGGAGUGUUAGCUGAGCAGGUGACAGUGACAGACUCCUCCUCCUUCAGAUCAGCUGGGAUUUCAAUGGUGGGACUCCAAGCAGAAUCUGCGGUUUCACAUUAGUAACAGUUUAUUCAAGCAGAAAUUGACUAAUAAUUAAAUUGACACUCAUCUAUUAUUUUCUGAUGUGGUCAAAAUGGGAUUCCUGCGUGUGCUUAACAAGGAUGUGGUGGUGAAAGUGUUAUGUAAAACACCUGCAAAUAAAAUAUCAAGUCUGCA